GAUGAACGCUGGCGGCGUGCCUAAUACAUGCAAGUCGAGCGAACGGACGAGAAGCUUGCUUCUCUGAUGUUAGCGGCGGACGGGUGAGUAACACGUGGAUAACCUACCUAUAAGACUGGGAUAACUUCGGGAGACCGUAGCUCAUACCGGACAAUAUUUUGAACCGCAUGGUUCAAGAGUGAAAGACGGUCUUUCUGUCACUUAUAGAUGGAUCCGCGCUGCAUUAGCUAGUUGGUAAGGUAACGGCUUACCAAGGCAACGAUGCAUAGCCGACCUGAGAGGGUGAUCGGCCACACUGGAACUGAGACACGGUCCAGACUCCUACGGGAGGCAGCAGUAGGGAAUCUUCCGCAAUGGGCGAAAGCCUGACGGAGCAACGCCGCGUGAGUGAUGAAGGUCUUCGGAUCGUAAAACUCUGUUAUUAGGGAAGAACAUAUGUGUAAGUAACUGUGCACAUCUUGACGGUACCUAAUCAGAAAGCCACGGCUAACUACGUG
rnacentral:rRNA from 1 species